GUGAGUCAUCGAAUCUUUGAACGCACCUUGCGCUCCUUGGUAUUCCGAGGAGCAUGCCUGUUUGAGUGUCUUGAAAUCAUCAAACCCCUCCGGUUUCUGCUGGAGCGGGUUUGGACUUGGGGGUUUUUGCUGCCUCACGGUGGCUCCCCUUAAAUGAAUCGGUCGGGCUUUCGUGUGGCUUGUCCCUUGGCGUUGUAUCAACCUCGUCGCUGGAUGGCUCGCGAGUUUUGCGCCCCUCCAAGACCAGCCUCUGGAGCGGCGGUCAACUUCAAUUUUUGAUCUGACCUCAAAUCAGGUAGGACUACCCGCUGAACUUAAGCAUAUCAAUAAGCGGAGGA
rnacentral:misc_RNA from 1 species